rfam:Ixodes scapularis strain Wikel colony gcontig_1108379142428, whole genome shotgun sequence.
GCAGUCGUGGCCGAGUGGUUAAGGCGAUGGACUCGAAAUUCAUUGAAGUCUCCCCGCACAGGUUCGAAUCCUGUCGACUGUG